rnacentral:rRNA from 1 species
UACGGAGGGUGCAAGCGUUGUUCGGAAUCACUGGGCGUAAAGGGCGUGUAGGCGGUCUGCUAAGUCUGAUGUGAAAUCCCCCCGCUCAACGAGGGAACUGCGUCGGAAACUGGCAGACUUGAGUACCGGAGAGGAAGGUGGAAUUCCCGGUGUAGCGGUGAAAUGCGUAGAUAUCAGGAGGAACACCAGUGGCGAAGGCGGCCCUCUGGACGGAUACUGACGCUGAGACGCGAAAGCGUGGGGAGCAAACAGG